rnacentral:rRNA from 1 species
GGUGAAAGGCCAAUCAAACUCGGAAAUAGCUCGUACUCCCCGAAAUGCAUUUAGGUGCAGCGUAUUAAUAGUUUUAUAGAGGUAGAGCUACUGAUUGGAUGCGGGGGCUUCACCGCCUACCAAUUCCUGACAAACUCCGAAUGCUAUAAAAUGUUUUAAUGCAGUGAGGGCAUGGGUGCUAAGGUCCAUGUCCGAGAGGGAAAGAACCCGGACCAUCAGCUAAGGUCCCCAAAUAUAUACUAAGUUGAAUAAACGAGGUUUGACUGCCUAGACAGCUAGGAUGUUGGCUUGGAAGCAGCCAUUCAUUUAAAGAGUGCGUAACAGCUCACUAGUCGAGCGGUCGAGCAUGGAUAAUAAUCGGGCAUAAGUAUAUUACCGAAGCUAUGGACUUCUUUGGAAGUGGUAGGGGAGCAUUCUAUUUGCGCAGAAUGUGGUCUGUAAGGACUGCUGGAGCGGAUAGAAAAGAAAAUGUAGGCAUAAGUAACGAUAAUGCGGGCGAGAAACCCGCACACCGAAAGACUAAGGUUUCCUCAGCUAUGCUAAUCAGCUGAGGGUUAGUCGGGACCUAACGCGAACCCGAAAGGGGUAGUGGAUGGACAACAGGUUAAUAUUCCUGUACCUGCUCACACUAAAAGUGACGGAGGCGAAAAGUUAGUGCGCACUGACGGAAUAGUGCGUUGAAGGGAGUGGUAACACCCCGAUAGUACAGUAAGGCUACGGCCGCGCUGAUAAUCUAGCAAAUCGACUUCCAAGAAAACCGAGUGAAGCAGCCCGUACCGUAAACCGACACAGGUAGUUGGGAUGAGAAUUCUAAGGUGCUCGAGAGAUUCAUGGCUAAGGAACUAGGCAAAAUAGACCUGUAACUUCGGGAGAAAGGUCGCCCAUCUUCGGAUGGGCCGCAGUGAAAAGGUCCAGGCGACUGUUUAUCAAAAACAUAGGGCUUUGCUAAAUCGAAAGAUGAUGUAUAAGGCCUGACACCUGCCCGGUGCUGGAAGGUUAAGAGGAGGGUUUAGCUUCGGCGAAGAUCUGAAUUGAAGCCCCAGUAAACGGCGGCCGUAACAAUAAC